AAUCGGUGGCCGCCAGGCACCCGCGGCGAAGGCGGCUCGGGCUCGGGCUCCGGUCAUCGUGAUGUCAGGUCAUGAGACCAUCCGAGUGCUGGAAGUCGGAGUGGAUGCCCAGCUCCCUGCUGAGGAAGAGAGCAAAGGACUGGAGGGUGUGGCCGCUGAGGGCUCCCAGAGCGGAGACCCUGCUGAAGCCAGUCAAGCUGCUGGUGAAGCUGGGCCAGACAACCUGGGCUCCUCUGCAGAGGCAACUGUGAAGUCACCCCCGGGGAUCCCUCCGAACCCUGCCCCUGCCAUUGCCACCUUCAGCCAAGCCCCAAGCCAGCCUCAGGCAUCGCAGACCCUGACGCCACUGGCUGUACAAGCUGCCCCCCAGUAUUGCAGGUCAAGUGGCUGGUCAGCAGGGGCUGGCCGUGUGGACAAUUCCUACAGCAACCGUGGCUGCCCUCCCAGGACUGACCGCUGCUUCUCCUACGGGGGGAAUUUUCAAGCCACCUUUAGCCGGUCUCCAAGCAGCUGCUGUGCUGAACACCGCUCUUCCGGCACCCGUACAAGCUGCCGC
rnacentral:sRNA from 1 species